rnacentral:rRNA from 1 species
UACGAAGGGGGCGAGCGUUGUUCGGAAUUACUGGGCGUAAAGGGCGCGUAGGCGGCCCCUUUUGUCGCGUGUGAAAGCCCCGGGCUCAACCUGGGAGGUGCGCGCGAAACGGGGGGGCUUGAGUUCGGGAGAGGAGCGUGGAAUUCCCAGUGUAGAGGUGAAAUUCGUAGAUAUUGGGAAGAACACCGGUAGCGAAGGCGGCGCUCUGGACCGAGACUGACGCUGAGGCGCGAAAGCGUGGGGAGCAAACAGG